rnacentral:lncRNA from 1 species
GCUUGCAGAGCAUGGAGUAGCUGCCUUGUUUACAGCACCAACUGCAAUUAGAGCAAUCCGUCAACAGGACCCUGGGGCAGCUUUGGGGAAGCAGUACUCUCUGACAAGGUUCAAAACAUUAUUUGUGGCUGGAGAACGAUGUGAUGUAGAGACCCUGGAAUGGUCCAAAAAUGUCUUCAGAGUACCUGUCUUAGACCAUUGGUGGCAAACUGGUAUAAAGCACUAAAGACCUCUUUAUCUUCUCUUCUUUGUUUCUUAUAUCUGAGACUGGAUCUCCAAUUACUGCGUCAUGUGUUGGAUUAGGCAAUUCUAAAACACCUCCACCAGGGCAAGCAGGAAAAAGCGUCCCAGGAUACAAUGUUAUGAUUUUGGAUGACAA